CCUCCGCCACCUGGCCGGCCUUCGCUUUGCACACGCGCCUUUCGAUGUAGCCUCCUAAAGAGGCAGAGGCGCUUUUCCCGCGUGACGCCCGGCGCAGCUUGAUGAUGACAUUUCGGCACCAGGUGGCCGAAUAGCGGCUUCCAGCUCCGAGGCGGGCAACACACUGUGGGUCCCACAGGUGUGCGGCGGAGGACGCGCGUGAGAGGGUUCUGCGCCCCGGCGGCUUCCCCGAGCCCCUGCCGUGGCCGUCUCCGUUCCUCCGCGGGUCCUGGGACUCCGGCCGUCCCCGGCCACUCUGCCCCGACUGGGCGGGCUUGGGAGGCGAGGGCCGCAGUUGAGUCCUCAUGACGGCGCCCUUUGGCCACGCCUUUGUGCCACUUUCCCGCGGGGCUCCUACACUGUUUCGAUUUUCUCUAUCAAGAGGUCUCCAGCCUGGGGCAGUGGCACGUGCCUGUAGUCUCAGCUCCUCAGGAGUCCGAGGCAGGACGAUCCCUUCAGUCAAAGAGUUCAAGGCCAGCCUGGGCAACAUGCAAAUACCAUCACUACAGACAUCUGGUCAAAGCCAAGGUUCACCUAUUGAGAGCAACUGAUGGGCACGCUCCAGUGUGCUGUUUAGCGCCAGCUGUAGCCCAUGUGCAGGAUACGUGUGCAUGAGAUGGGUGAGUCCUGAGCUCCACCUGUCCACGCAGCAGGAGCCACGGGGCAGCUGGGGGGACACAAGACAUUCUCCAAGACAAUGCUGGUCUUAAAAGUACCAGAGGUUGGCUGGGUGCAGUGGCUCAUGCUUGUAAUCCCAGCACUUUGAGAGGCCAAGGCGAGUGGAUCACUUGAGGCCAGGAGU